GGGAUUGCGUCCGAUUAGCUAGUUGGUAGGGUAAGGGCUUACCAAGGCGAUGAUCGGUAGCUGGUCUGAGAGGACGAUCAGCCACACUGGGACUGAGACACGGCCCAGACUCCUACGGGAGGCAGCAGCAAGGAAUAUUGGGCAAUGGGCGAAAGCCUGACCCAGCGACACCGCGUGAGGGAAUAAGGCCUUCGGGUUGUAAACCUCUUUUCUCAGGGGAAUGACGGUACCUGAGGAAUAAGUCUCGGCUAACUACGUGCCAGCAGCCGCGGUAAUACGUAGGAGGCAAGCGUUAUCCGGAUUUACUGGGCGUAAAGCGGGCGCAGGCGGCUUUUCAAGUCGAUUGUAAAAUCUCCCCGCUCAACGGGGAGAGGUCAUUCGAUACUGUUGAGCUAGAGAGCAGCAGAAGGAGGUGGAAUUCCCGGUGUAGUGGUGAAAUGCGUAGAU
rnacentral:rRNA from 1 species